CGCCUCUUGACUCUAAUAAGAGGUCCAGCCUGCCCAGUGACUCUGUUCAACGGCCGCGGUAUCCUAACCGUGCGAAGGUAGCGUAAUCACUUGUUCUUUAAAUGAGGACUAGUAUGAACGGCACCACGAAGGUUAUACUGUCUCCUUUUUUUGAUCAGUGAAACUAAUCUCCCCGUGAAGAAGCGGGGAUAAACCUAUAAGACGAGAAGACCCUAUGGAGCUUUAAACAACAUAACACUCACCUUAUUAUGUAAACAUUUCCGAACAGAAAUUUAUCAGGUGAAAUGGUUAUAAGUUUUCGGUUGGGGUGACCAUGGAGUAAAACAUAACCUCCACGUUGAAAGAACAUUAUUCUAAACUAAGACCUACUAGACAAAGUAUCAAUAUUUUGACAUCAAUUGACCCAAUACUUUUGAGCAACGAACCAAGUUACCCUAGGGAUAACAGCGCAAUCCACUUUAAGAGCCCCUAUCGACAAGUGGGUUUACGACCUCGAUGUUGGAUCAGGGUCUCCAAGUGGUGCAGCCGCUACUAAAGGUUCGUUUGUUCAACGAUUAAAACCCUACG
rnacentral:rRNA from 1 species